AGCAGUUUUGGUCCUAAACCUCCCAUUAUUUGUUAUUAAAAUUAUACAUGCAAGCCUCCACCCUCCAGUGAAAACGCCCUAAAAGGAGCAGGUAUCAGGCACAUGCAAUCCUUUGCAUAGCCAAAAACGCCUAGCCAAUCGAGCCACACCCCCACGGGACCCAGCAGUAAUAAACAUUAAGCAAUGAGCGCCCCCGCAGCUCGACUUAGUCAUAAUAAAUCUAGGGCCGGUUAAUUUCGUGCCAGCCACCGCGGUUAUACGAAAAGCCCAAAAUAAUGAACCCCGGCGUAAAGCGUGACUAGAGCAUAUUAGACCCCCAAAUGAGAUGGAAACCCUUUCUAAGUUAUAAAACACAACAAGAAAACAGGAAUUCCCCUUACAUCUCACCAAAGGCCCCCUCAACUUCACGAAAGCUAAGAAACAAACUAGGAUUAGAUACCCUACUAUGCUUAGCUGUGAACAUAGACACCCCACAAUACCAGAUGCCCGCCAGAGAAUUACUAGUGAAAAACUUAAAACUCAAAGGACUUGACGGUAUCUCACACCAACCUAGAGGAGCCUGUCCUAUAAUCGAUACCCCACGAAAAACCUCACCCCCUUUUGCAAAAUCAGCCUAUAUACCGCCGUCGUCAGCCUACCUUAUGAAAGACCUCAAGUAGGCACAAAAGUAUAACCCACAAAAACGUCAGGUCAAGGUGUAGUUAAUAAGGCGGGAAGAGAUGGGCUACAUUUCCUUAAAGGACCCACCACAUUAUACCCUGAAAAACUAUAAUUAAAGGUGGAUUUAGUAGUAAGACAAGUAAGAGAGCCUGUCUGAAACCUGCUCUGAGAUGCGUACACACCGCCCGUCACCCUCCUCAGCAACAAAAAUACACUAAAUAAACUGCUUCUACCGCAUAGAUGAGGUAAGUCGUAACAUGGUAAGCGUACUGGAAAGUGCGCUUGGCUCA
rnacentral:ncRNA from 1 species